UAUCUCUGUAGAGUCUGCAUAUCAAUAAGCGGAGGAAAAGAAACUAACAAGGAUUCCCUAGUAACGGCGAGUGAAGCGGGAAGAGCUCAAAUUUGAAAUCUUCAAGGUUCUACCUUGACGAAUUGUAGUUUAAAGAAGUGUUUUCUGUUGAGUUUGGUAAAAGUUCUUUGGAAUAGGACAUCAUAGAGGGUGAGAAUCCCGUAUUUGACCUAUUACUUCCAGCUUUGUGAUACACUUUCAAAGAGUCGGAUUGUUUGGGAAUGCAGUCCAAAAUGGGUGGUAAAUUUCAUCUAAAGCUAAAUAUUGGCGAGAGACCGAUAGCGAACAAGUACCGUGAGGGAAAGAUGAAAAGAACUUUGAAAAGAGAGUUAAACAGUACGUGAAAUUGUCAAAAGGGAAGCGUUUGACACCAGUGUUGUUUUUCUCGAAAAUCAAUUAAAGAAUGGCUUGAUUCUGUGUUGUAUUGACCUUAUCAGCUUUCUUCACUUUUUUCGAGUCUUUUCUUAAUGCACUUUUCGUUAACAAGUCAACAUCAAUUUCUUUUGUUGUAAAAAGAGUAUUCGGAAGGUGGCUUUCUUUUCGGAGAAAGUGUUUAUAGCCCUUGACUUCUGCAAUCGGAGAGAUUGAGGUCUGCAGCGUAGAUCCUUCGGGGUUAGAUACAUUUGUGCUAAGUUGUAGCUUUUCAUAGACAACUUGUUGACUAUGUUUAGUCAUGUAGCUUACUCGCUUAUGCUAUUUUACCUACGCUUAGGAUGUUGAAGAUGUAGCACAUCAU
rnacentral:rRNA from 1 species